GAUGAACGCUGGCGGCGUGCCUAACACAUGCAAGUCGAGCGGACGGGCGCGAAGCUUGCUUCUCUGAUGUUAGGGGCGGACGGGUGAGUAACACGUGGAUAACCUCCCUAUCUGUCUGGGAUAAUUUCGGGAAACCGUAGCUAAUACCGGAUAAUAUUUUGAACCGCAUGGUUGAAGAGUGAAAGACGGUGUUGGUGUCUCUUAUAGCUGGAUCCGCGCUGUAUUAGCUAGUUGGUAAGGUAACGGCUUACCAAGGGAACGAUGCAUCGCCGACCGGAGGGGGUGAUCGGCCACACUGGAGGUGAGACACGGACCAGACUCCUACGGGAGGCAGCAGUAGGGAAUCGUCCGCAAUGGGCGGAAGCCUGACGGAGCAAGGCCGCGCGAGUGAUGAAGGUCUGCGGAGCGGAAAACUCUGUUAUUAGGGAAGAACAUAUGUGUAAGUAACUGUGCACAGCUUGACGGUACCUAAUCAGAAAGCCCCGGCUAACUACGUG
rnacentral:rRNA from 1 species